CCUGCUGGGCCAUUUUGCGCAUGCGUUAGGACAGGCCACCAUUUUGCGCGUGGACUGAAAAAGCGGACGUUUUGUGUGCUGCAAGCGGGCUCAAGUUAAUCACACAACUUCGUGUAAAGGUGGUCUAGCUUCGAUUUUCUUCCCCUUAUGUGUUAUUGUUUAUUCAAGGAAACGGUGUUAUUUUGGACAUUGAAGGAGAUGACAUCCAGAGAGACCUGAAGAAGCACACCAUGGGCAUUUAUGUCAUCAACAAGGAGGAUGGACAAAAUGGACA